rnacentral:rRNA from 1 species
AGAGUUUGAUCAUGGCUCAGGAUGAACGCUAGCGAUAGGCCUAACACAUGCAAGUCGAGGGGCAGCACAUGAAGUAGCAAUACGGAUGGUGGCGACCGGCGCACGGGUGAGUAACGCGUAUGCAGCCUGCCUACAACAGGGGAAUAACCCGUUGAAAGACGGACUAAUACCCCAUAACACAGGGAUCCCGCAUGGGAAUAUUUGUUAAAGAUUUAUCGGUUGUAGAUGGGCAUGCGUUCCAUUAGCUUGUUGGUGAGGUAACGGCUCACCAAGGCAACGAUGGAUAGGGGAACUGAGAGGUUUAUCCCCCACACUGGUACUGAGACACGGACCAGACUCCUACGGGAGGCAGCAGUGAGGAAUAUUGGUCAAUGGACGCAAGUCUGAACCAGCCACGUCGCGUGAAGGAAGACGGCCCUACGGGUUGUAAACUUCUUUUGUAAGGGAAUAAAGUGUAGUACGUGUACUAUUUUGCAUGUACCUUACGAAUAAGGAUCGGCUAACUCCGUGCCAGCAGCCGCGGUAAUACGGAGGAUCCGAGCGUUAUCCGGAUUUAUUGGGUUUAAAGGGUGCGCAGGCGGGAGAUUAAGUCGGCGGUGAAAUUUUGCAGCUCAACUGUAAAAGUGCCUUCGAAACUGGUUUCCUUGAGUGUGGAUGAAGUAGGCGGAAUUUGUGGUGUAGCGGUGAAAUGCAUAGAUAUCACGAGGAACUCCGAUUGCGCAGGCAGCUUACUAAACCAUAACUGACGCUCAGGUACGAAGGCGUGGGGAUCA